rfam:Ascaris suum AG00217, whole genome shotgun sequence.
GCCACCUUAGCUCAGUCGGUACAGCAUCAGACUUUUAAUCUGAGGGUCAGGGGUUCGAGUCCCCUAGGUGGCU